rnacentral:rRNA from 1 species
GACGUAGGGCGCGAGCGUUGUCCGGAUUUAUUGGGCGUAAAGAGCUCGUAGGCGGCUUGUCGCGUCGUUUCGUGAAAAACCUGGCAGCUCAACUGCAGGCUUGCGGUCGAUACGGGCAGGCUAGGAGUUCGGUAGGGGAGACUGGAAUUCCUGGUGUAGCGGUGAAAUGCGCAGAUAUCAGGAGGAACACCGGUGGCGAAGGCGGGU